UACGUAGGGGGCAAGCGCUGUCCGGAUUUAUUGGGCGUAAAGAGCGUGUAGGCGGCCAGACAGGUCCGUUGUGAAACUCGAGGCUCAACCUCGAGACGCCGAUGGAAACCGUCUGGCUAGAGUCCGGAAGAGGAGAGUGGAAUUCCGUGGUGUAGCGGUGGAAUGCGCAGAUAUCAGGAGGAACACCGAUGGCGAAGGCAGGUCUCUGGGCCACUACUGACGCUGAGAAGCGAAAGCAUGGGGAGCGAACAGG
rnacentral:rRNA from 1 species